GAGAAAAAUUGUGGCUUAGAAAAUACAAGUGAGUUAGUGGCAGAGAACCUCACCAGCACCUGAGGGGGUCAUUCCUAUAUGCUCUCUACAACAUCACACAUGGUCCCCGGGACUGUGAAAGUACAAAGAUUUAUAUAUACUGGAGAUUAGAACAGGAGAAAAAAAAUCCCUUUUCCAUCAUCCUUCCAAUCAUAAUAACAUUAUACUGGGUCACAAGUGAGGCCAGGAAAAAUAGUUACCUUCAGUGAUUUAUGAUCCAAGAACGGAGACCACCUACCAUGCUCGGGCCUGAAGCAGAUUUCACUUCAGUUUUGAAAAUAACAUUCUGAGUGCAGCCGGCCUGCUAGCCAUAUGCCUGCCUGGGCCCCUGCCUCUGCAUCAGGACCCGGGAGCCUCAACAGCCCUGUAUUCACUUGGUCUUGCUGCUUAUGAGGAACAAGAUGUGCAGACUGAUUGGGGAGCAGGGCAUGAUUUAUUUUUAUCUCUUAAAUGGUAAAAUAGUCAUUUCAUAGAAAAAUCAACACGGAAUCUUUUUGCCUAAUUGAUCCCUAAGCUCCUGACUUUUGCCUCUGCCCCCAGCACUGCUCCCCUUGAAUCACGCCCUCUCCGCAUCCUCUCCUCACCCCUUGCUUCACUGCCCAGGCUUCUCCCUCUUAGGGCAAAUACCAUGAACAUGUAGUUGUUAUUAGUUGACAUUGUGUGGCUGAAGGCCAGUGAAUAAUUACAUCCAUCUCAUCUCACCUGUCUCCCAUGGCACCGACCAGAGACAUCAGGCACAGGCAACCAUCUCCAGAGUACAUCAGCCCCUCGGGGACCUGCUCAGGUUGGCUGAAUCUCUGCCUCAGUGACACAUUUUGUGCUGAGCUGUGAGAAUUGCUUGGGAACCAAGAGCUGCUGGCAGAAGGGCUAACUCUCAACAGCAGGAAACUUCCCAUGGCAGAGGGCCCCCGCAAUGGCAACCCCGUGCCUUCUGAGCUGGAGAUGCCUCGCUGCCUGACCACAUGGCACCAUGAGUCUCUAGCUCCCACCACCACCCCAAAUCCUCACCCUCAGGGCUCGGGCCCAGGUGCACAGGCCUGAGAGCUGGCAGAAAGGGAGUUGUCUACAGCCAGAAGGGGAUUUUCUUCACCAUCCCACCCAAACGUUGUUUGGCUGCCGCUGCCUCUGAGCUUUUCAGAAAUGAAAAAGAGAGAUAGGGAAGUGGGAGCCCUGGUGGGCUCUGGAACCCUUCUGUUUUCUCAAGGGCAUGGCAGUAGGUCCAAAAUGUCCUCUGGGUUUGAAAAUGAAAUGCCGGCACAGAGCAGAUUCCUGACAAAUGUGGCCCAGAUGUUUCUGAGCGAUUUAUUUUUGCUGAUGGAAAAUGGCUGAGCUAAUAACCCUCAGAAACAUUUCUGUAGGGAGAGUUGAAGCCUAUUUUGCCUCUGUGCUUGUGUUUUGCUUGUGGUUUUCUUUUACGGAAGAAAUUAGAUGUAGGAAAAAGCCCAAAAAACAACUCUGUCUAUAACAGCUGAUGCCAAAAUCCCAUGCAUAGAUUGUGUGACCUGAUUUCUACCAAUUAUUGACAAUUCAGUGAGGCCCAAGUUCUUCUCAUCAAUUACCUCAUUUAAUCCCUAUGACAAGGAGGAGACCAAGGCUCAGAGCAAUGACAUUUCCUACCCAGCCAGAGCCACACGGCCUGUGACAGCAUGGCUGAGAAUCAAACCCCAAGCUUUGACUCUAGAUCAAAACUCUUUCCACCACUAUACUCUUAUAGGGAAAUGACAAGGAAAAUACAAGGGUUAAAAGAGACUCUGAGAGGCUGGAUGCAGUGGCUCACACGUGUACUUUGGGAGGCCAAGGUGGGUGGAUUACUUCAGGCCAGGAGUUCGAGACCAGCCUGGCCAAUAUGACAAAACCCCGCCUCUACAAAAAAAAAAAAAAAUAGCCAGGCAUGAGGGUGCAUGCUUGUAAUCCCAGCUACUCGGGAGGCUGAGGCAGGGGCAGCAGAAUCACUUGAACCCUGGAGGCAGAGGUUGCAGUGAGCCGAGAUCACACCACCACACUCCAGUCUAGGAGACAGAGCAAGACUGUGUCUCCAAAAAAAAAAAAAAAAAAAAAAAAAGAGAGAGAGAGAGAGAGACUGUUAGCGGUCUUCUAAUUGAUCCAUGGGCUUUUCGUCAGCACCUCAAUUUUACACCCUAAACUUGGUCAGAGAGUCUAGUGAGUUUCCUUUUCUUUAAGGGAAAGGCACUGCUUUCUGGGCAGCAAGAAAAGGACUGUCUUUGAUGUCCCCACUCCCCAACAUCUUUUGGCAAUGAGUGACUGUGCUAUCUAAUGCUAUAUUCAUAGUGAAGUGAAAUGGCUUUGAAGCAGACAGAACCAGGACCAAAUCUAAGCUUCACCACUAACAAGCUAGGUGACUUUAAGCAAGUCAGUUAUUAAAGUUCUCUGUGUUUAGUUUCCUAAUUACCAGCCAAGAAGCUCUCUCUAGCUCUGUCUCUGUUGCUGUAGCUGCAGCCUAUGGAAGGACUGUUGUGAAGAUAGCUUCAGCAUAGCCCUUAACACAGAGUCGGCUCUCUGUAAAUGGUGGUGAUUAUUAACUAUUCCAUAACUAUGGAAAUGAGUGAGCAAGUGAGCAGUGAAUGUGCUUCUCCUCCUCUGUGAGACUAAGAGAGACUCCAUGAUUGUCAAGUUUAGCCAUGAGGAAAGGCACAUAACCCUUCUCCUUGGUGCAUUUGCCCCAAGUGGCUACUUUGUGCUUACAGGAAUUUGCAAAUGACAUUACAAGAGCAGCAUAAUGGGCUGAGAGGAAACAAGCUUGCCAUGACCUUCACCUCCUCUUGCUUCCACCUAUUGGGAUCCCAGGACUAUAUGGGAUUCAGCAGGACUGCCUUGUUCAGAACCUACUUCCAAGCAAGAUGAGACUUAAACCAUCUCUAAUGAACAAUUAUUGCAUAUCUGCCAUGUGUCAGGCACUAUGCUGGCAUAGAUAGGUAAGUCAGUAGGUAGAUAGAACAGAAUAGCUAGAUAGAUGGUAGACAGAUAGAUGAUAGAUAGAUAGAUAGAUAGAUAGAUAGAUAGAUAGAUAGAUAAAUAGAUAGAGAUAGAUGAUAGAGAUAGAUGAUAGAUAUAGAUGAUUGAUAGAUAGAUAGAUAGAUAGAUAGAUAGACAGACAGACAAACAGACAGAUAGAUAGAUAAUCUCAGAUCAUCUUAUCCUUCCAUAGAGGCAGGACAGGAGGAUAGUGAAAAGAGCAUAAACUAUGGACUCAGGUAAGAUGAUUUGAAAUCCUGGCUCAAUCCUUUUCUCUCUGUGUGAUUUUGGGCAAGUUGUUCUUCUCAGAAUCUCUGUAAAAGGGGGAAAUUACAUCUGCUCAAAUGAAUUGUUUUUAAUCAGAUAAAAAUCCUGCAACACACGGGACACUCUCUGGCACAGAGGAGAGUCACGGGGGAGCUGACUCUCAUUUGUAUCUACUCUGCAGAGUCGUUGCCAUCAUAGUGUACCGGUGAGAAUGUUGAAUUCCAGGACAGAAGGGGACUUGCCCAAAAUCACAGAGUUAAGGGGCAGACAUGGAAAACUGGUUCUCAUGCACCCAAAUCUAUUUCUGUUCAAAGCUGCAAAAAAUAUUCACUGAGCACUUCAUUAGGCACCCAUGCAAUGGGAGAAGGGCUAGGCAUUUCUAGGAAAUCCAGGAUCCCAAGAAGCUCACAUCCCAGUGGGAGAAACAUUUACUUGGCAAAUAUUCAUUGUAUUAGUCCAUUCUCACGUUGCUAUAAGGACAUAUCCAAGACUGGGUAAUUUAUAAAGAAAAAGAGGUUUAAGGGAAUCACAGUUCCACGUGGCUAGGGAGAUUUCACAAUCAUGGAAGGUGUAGAAGUUGCUAAGGCACGUCUUACAUGGCAGCAGGCAAGAGAACAUGUGCAGGGCAACUGCCCUUUAUAAAAUCAUCAGAUCUCCUGGGACUUACUCACUAUCACAAGAAUAGCACAGGGGAAAAAUCCACACACAUGAUUCAAUUACCUCCCACCAGGUCCCUCCCACAGCAUGUAGGGAUUAUGGGAGCUACAGUUCAAGAAGAGAUCUGGAUGGGGAAACAGCCAAACCAUAUCAUCUAUUUCAUUACACAUUCUGUAUCUUUGGCAGCAUGGAAGACGGUAGAAAUGCAAAGGUAUACCUAACAGGUAUAACCUGUGGCUGUGUCCCACACAGCGUAUUGUUUUGAAGGCAGAUGUACGUAUAAAAUGAAAUAUGUUAAGCACUCCCAUGGGAGAAUCCUACAGCAUGGGGACUCACCAAGGAAGCAGCACUUGAGUAAUUUUGAGGCACCAGGAAUGGAGAGGUUAGGACUUAGUUGGAGCAGCGUUGGUCAGGGAGGGAGCAGAAGGUCCCAGGAGUGGUCUGGAGAGGAGAGACUGUGUAGUCCUUGAAGAAAUGUGGAAGGUCAAUGCAGCUGGAAUUGAGUAUAAGAGGGAAUAGCAGGCUUAGGUAAGGCUGGAGGAGGGCUGGGGCACGGAGAGCCUUGAAACAUAUGUUAAGAAACCUGGAGGCUUUAAUGAGGCCAGUGCAAAACCUUCAAAGUAUUUUAAGCAAAGGAGCAGUAGGAUUUACAUAUUAGAAGGAUUACUCUCAUUACAGUCUGGAAAAAGGACUGGGGAUGUGGGAGACACAGAAAUAAACAAUUACCAUUAAGGCAGGGGAUUAACAAUUACCAGGAGGCAAGGGAGUUUUACAAAUAUUGAACAAUCAGUAUCAAAUGGACAUCAACCAAAUAGAAUGUAAGGCUGCUGGAGAAAGUCCUCCUGCUCAUCCCUACCAGUCCCAGCAAAGGGACCAAGUGGCAGGGAGGGGGCAUUCAUGGGAGGGGCAUUGAUGGUGAAGGCAGUGGCUCUUUCCCACUUAGCAUGAACUCAUUUGAGUAUCUUAGCCACUGAUAAGGCCACCCAGACGCACUUGAUUGUCAAUGUCAGCCAGGGUAGGAGUAAAAGCCAAGUGUUUGGAGAGCCUGGAAAAGACCCAACAGGUUUCAUGCAUCUCACCUGUGAGCCAGGAACCAAGGAAAGGCCUUUUCUGUGCUCAUAGUGUAAAUACCCUGAAUCCUGAAACUCCUGGUGAAACAACUCUGACUUUGGAGAAGGAUAUGUCACAUG
rnacentral:lncRNA from 1 species